GAUGAACGCUGGCGGCGUGCCUAAUACAUGCAAGUCGAGCGAACAGACGAGGAGCUUGCUCCUCUGACGUUAGCGGCGGACGGGUGAGUAACACGUGGAUAACCUACCUAUAAGACUGGGAUAACUUCGGGAAACCGGAGCUAAUACCGGAUAAUAUAUUGAACCGCAUGGUUCAAUAGUGAAAGACGGUUUUGCUGUCACUUAUAGAUGGAUCCGCGCCGCAUUAGCUAGUUGGUAAGGUAACGGCUUACCAAGGCAACGAUGCGUAGCCGACCUGAGAGGGUGAUCGGCCACACUGGAACCGAGACACGGUCCAGACUCCUACGGGAGGCAGCAGUAGGGAAUCUUCCGCAAAGGGCGAAAGCCUGACGGAGCAACGCCGCGUGAGUGAUGAAGGUCUUCGGAUCGUAAAACUCUGUUAUUAGGGAAGAACAAAUGUGUAAGUAACUAUGCACGUCUUGACGGUACCUAAUCAGAAAGCCACGGCUAACUACGUG
rnacentral:rRNA from 1 species